rnacentral:tRNA from 2 species
GGGCUCGUAGCUCAGUUGGUAAGAGCGCACGCCUGAUAAGCGUGAGGUCGGAAGUUCGAAUCUUCCCGGGCCCA